UGCGCGCGCACGUGCCUCUUCUUUCCAAG
rnacentral:piRNA from 1 species